rnacentral:lncRNA from 1 species
AAAAUUUUUUUGGUUGAUGAGUUAAAAUAUUGAUAAAUAUAUUCUGAAUAAGAAGUAAUCAGAGACAUCUAAUAGCAUGAUUUAGUAGCUAAUUGGCUAUUGUGUUGAUGUUGGUGAGAGUGCUAAUGUUUUGUUUGUCUAUCAAAUAUCGAUAGUGUGCAAAGUAUUGUGAUAUAUUAACUUAUGGUCGUAUAAUGGUUGCCCAUAUAGUUUUGUGUUAAGUGGUUGUGUCUAGUUCAAAUUUUUUUCUGUAAUUCAUUUCAAAUGAAUAAAGCUUUGUAAUGUGAUAAGAGCUAACACGGUGUUUAAGCUUGUUUAAAAAUUUAUACAUUAUACAUUUUCGUAAUACCUUCCAAAUCUACUCCAAUAUUUUUCGUAGGAAGCCUUUCUCUAAAUAUGUUCACAGAAGUUUUCACAUGUUGAUGUAAUCCAUGAGCAUCGCCAUUCGUCACAUGACCAGUCGGCAUAACAUAACCAAAAUAAACAUGAUAUUUUUCGGUACGUACGUUUAAGUAUGUUCACAGGUUUCCUCUCCAGUUAAAACAAACAGCAAAUACUCAACAGACGAUGUAGAAAUUUAAUUUACUUGUUACGUUACGCUUCAAGCACGAGCUUGUGAAAUGUCAAAACACUAGAAACCAUCAAGAGCAUUCCAAUUCUCCGCCUAGACGUAGGUACCGCUAACAGUGUGCUUUCAGAAUUACGUAGUCCUGUUACGCUUUGAAUUGGCGCGGUACAAGGAGGUUGUCUAGCUGCCGUUCGAUCUGUGCUUAAGGUCAUAACACUAUGUACAAUAGAUACUAUACUCACAUAAAGCUUGCAGAACAAAUGUCGAUUGAGACACGGGAACCGUUCAUCAGAGAAUUGGAUGAUCGAUUAGCAUCGGAUAUGCUGAACUCUACAAUCUCAAUCGGUAAAGCUUAAACUAUCAUUAGAUAGGUGUGCAUUUAAGUGUGAUUACAGAUUUCGCGUGCCGGGUAUAAAACUAAUAAGGAUUUGAAUAUAACACUGAAAGGCAAAAUUAUAUUUACUAGAUAAUACGCUCGCAGCAUGCUUGCAAAACACGUUGUCCUUUGAGUCACGAUACGGGAGAGCAUCUAUCGGAAAUUUGGUAACAACUGAAGCUAUAAUUAUAUAACUUUAUCUAAUCACUUUAAAUAUAUUUUUGGCAUCGGACAUGCUGAUUUCGAGAAAAUAGGUAAAGUUUUCAAUUUAUCCAACUUAACAUUUACCAAUAUUAGAUAGGUGUGCUUUCAUGUGUGAUUGCAGAUGUCUUGUGCGCCCGUCAUGAAAAUUUCCGAGGAAUACACAUUACCCUGUAAUGUAUUUAUGUGUAUCUUAAUUACUUAGUAAUAUUGCUUCUGUAGAUAAAUGCCCCCUUGAACUUAACAUUUUCCUUUAUGGGAAAUAUCGUGUUUUAAAUUUUUUCGCAGUUAUAAUACGUCGUGAUCGUGGAUUUAAAUGUGGACAUAGACUUCAUAAAGCGGUAAUACUCGAGUUCUUUAUUGCAUGAGAACCAAUAAUCUUUCCCUAAUUUCUUAUAAUCUCUAUUUUGGUACGCUUCUGUUGUAGUUUUAAGUGUUAGGGAACGGCUUUUCUUAGUAUGUUUCAGAUGUUGAGCUACGGCUUUUCUAGGAGUUUGGCACGGAGUCUCAAUAGCACUGUAUAACAAAGGUCCGUUUUAUGAAAUAACACCUUUAUUAAUUUCCAUUGCAUCUUGUAAGCUAGGCAAAACGCACUUCUUAAUAUGAUUCCAGAUUGCGACAAAGUGCUUGUGACGAUGCUUUCACACUCUACUCAUCCGGUAAACGAUUCAAAAUCCUUGCUAUAUACUAUUACAUGAUCUUACAUUUAUAACUAUAACGUUAUUCUUCUAUUUAUUAUAUAUUAGGUAGAUAGCAAGUUAGGGAACGAUAUGAUUAGAAUGUUUCAGAUGAGAAGUGAACGCGUUUGGGAGGUUGGUCUUGUCGUCUCAUUCAUCGGUAAAUUAAACUUUAUCUAUGAAUGCGUGUUAUUCGCAGAAAUCGGUUUGUUUUUUUAUAUUUGCAGAAAGCUGACCGCGAGGGUUCGUUACAGCUUCGAGAUAUAAGCGCGGUCGAGCAAUAAGACAGCUUGCUUUUGUAAGUCAACUGCAUAGAAAUCAAAUUUUAACGCAAACAUAUCGUAGUUAUUAUUUAGAAUACAUAUUUAAACAUAAAACGGUUUUUUUUAUUUAGAUAGGGUACGAUAGGCAAACCAUAUAUUAUAAUGUUUCAGAUGAAAUCGGCGGAUCUAUUUUGGAGUCACCAUAUUUAUGGUAAAUUUUCAAAUACAUAUCUUCAUAUAAAUAUAUGUGGAAAUCCACAGAAAUCGGUUUUGUGUCGUAUGUUCACAGAAAGUAAACAUCCAGGUGUUCCCACGUUCGUUGCGUCGCCGGUAAUAAAAAUACAUGAUUAUUAUGGCCAAAGGCCACUUUUGUAAGCAAAAAACGUUUUUGUUUAUAUGAUUACAGAAGUCCAGGACAACAUUGUGACACUGAAUGUAUUCUAAACACGCACAAACGAGUAGGUAAUAUGAAUAUUCUUCUACACAACGCUUAACCCUAGGCUUAGGAUAGUAUCCCGCAGAAUUCGGUUGUUUUUAAUGAUUGCAGAAUCCCUGGCAAUGUGCGAGUGUUAGUCCUGAAUCUGGCGAUACGGAGGUGAAGGUUAGGUAGAUAUGAAUGUCCAACACCUAGAUUGCAUAAAUAAGUGUAUUUUGCAUGUAGGAAGCAUUUUGUUGAAGUAUGUUUCAGAUUUGGCCCAGUGUUAGCUAAUGCGUAGAUCGUAGCCGAUUUUCCGGUAACCGUCGUUACUUGACGAACAUUUCUUAAUAUUUUACCCCAAUAUAUUUAGGAUGCAGAGCCCAUAAUAUAUUGCAGACUGGUCGAGGUUAACGGAACAAUCUGAUUAUGAGUAAGAUUUUUGCCAUGAGCUAUAUAAAAUUAUUUGUAUAUAAAAUUAUAUAUUUAUUGCGUUACUUUAUUUUCCUUUAGCAAAUAACAUAAUGUAACUAAAUAGCUUUAGAAAUAGUGGUAGGGUGCUAUCAUCAUCUCUUCCAGGUCUUGAGAUCUUUCAUCAUUAAUGGAUAUUGAGUGUCGAGGUGCAUAUCACAAUAUUGUAUGUAAAUAAACAUAUUUAUUUGAGAGAUGUGAACGUUAACACCCAGUAAUCCUAGCACGAGCACGAUGUUUGUAAUAGUAUUGCAAAUAAUCAUGGAAAGUUCAAAAUGGGUUGGUAAAUUAAGAAACAUUAUUAAAGCAAUGUAGAGUCUGCGUCUUUGGAACAUGAUUGUUUAGAGCACGUAGAAACAACAGCUGUGGCUAACGUUUAAAUUGACAUAUUUGCAACUUUAGUCUUUACUGAGCAUGAAGCUUGAACGGUUCAUGGUAAUCAAUCGACUUCCGACAUUUCCAGCUUGUGUGGUGCAUCGUUUCAAAAACUGCGUUUAUGUAAUUAAUUUAAUUGCACAAAACCUUUUUGUUGACGCAAAAAUCAUGUAAAUCACUCCACCCGGAUGAUAUUGUGUGCUUUGAUGUUAAAUUGUCAUCGGUAUGUUGAAUUAUUUCCUUCGUAUUUUUCAUGUCUUCGCUAAUAAACGCUUAAUUUACGAUUUGCAAAUUUUAUAACACUACACAGGUUUAGUGUUAUGCCCUAUUCCUGAUAUUGUGAUGUGUGUUCUAAAUUAGUACAAUUUAUAUUUGUUCUGUUAUUUAUAUUGUGUUAUGUAUUGCUUUUAAUCAUUCUAUUUAGGACUUUCACAAUUUAUGUAUUUAUUUGAAGCAAUUUUCUACAUCUGUAUUUUUGGAACUCUAACACAAUGGUUCUUGUGUACUGCAAUGCUUUUAUUUCACAAGCGAUAAAUAAUUCUAUAUUGUGUAUAGUCUAUUUUGGAUAUGAUAAUAGCAAAGCCCACGACUGUGGAUAUUUACUUAAAUACAAUAAAUUAUAAGUCGUGUGAAAAUACAUAAAAAUAUGUUCUAUGAUGAAGAUGGAAAGUAAAUGUAAGUGGAUACAAUGUUAUUUAAAAGAACUUGUUUAAAAUAUAAUUCAUAUUUUUUACAGGAGCGAUUAAAAUAUAGGAAGUUGAAUAUGUAAUAACAAAUGUAAUAUAUUUAAAUAAAUUUGUGUAUGAAACGAAACUUAAAGCAGAAAGACGUAUAAAUGAUUACCUACUUUAUAAAUUACUUAAAAUGAAAUAAGGAAACCAAACGAAUGAGUUACUAAGUUUAUGUAUAUUGUAAAAAAGUAUAACGGAGGUUGAAACGAAAUCGACCAAAACGAAGUUUUAUAAUACAUAUGACAAUAGGUAGGCAAAGAAGUAAUCCGGGCGAUGACAUAGGUAGGAUAUAGGUAUAAAAUUUACCUAGAUAAUAUUUUCUUUUGUAAACCAAUAAUUUUUUUAAUAAAUUUGUCUUGUAAUUGAUUAAAAAAAGUGAUUCCCGUGGAGUUUCUUGCGCCGCUUCUUCUCCACGGAAGAACACUUUGCGAAGCGGUGGUAGAUUUUUUCUAAAAGUAAAAAAUCAAUCAUAAAAAUCUUAAAUCAUGAAAUAUAACAUACAUUUAAAAUCUA